rnacentral:rRNA from 1 species
UAAGGAAUAUUGCUCAAUGGGAGAAAUCCUGAAGCAGCAACGCCGCGUGGAGGAUGAAGGGUCUAUGACUUGUAAACUCCUGUAAAGAAGGAAAAAAUUCCCAUUUGAUGGGAGAUGAUGGUACUUCUGGAGUAAGCCCCGGCUAACUACGUGCCAGCAGCCGCGGUAAUACGUAGGGGGCAAGCGUUGUCCGGAUUUACUGGGUGUAAAGGGUGCUCAGGCGGAUUUGUAAGUCAGAGGUGAAAUCUUACAGCUUAACUGUGAAACUGCCUUUGAUACUGCAAGCCUAGAGUAUGGAAGAGAGUGAUGGAAUAUCUGGUGUAGCAGUGAAAUGCGUAGAUAUCAGAUAGAACACCAAUGGCGAAGGCAGUCACUUGGGCCAUUACUGACGCUAAAGCACGAAAGCGUGGGUAGC